rnacentral:ncRNA from 28 species
AACGGAAGCCCGUGAAAGUCGGGCACGGUCGCGCCACUGUAACCGGAUACGAGUUCCCUUGAGUCACCGGUAGAGCCGGGAAGACGGGAACAAGGAUUGAUGCCGGAAGUCAGGAGACGU